rnacentral:rRNA from 1 species
UACGGGGGGGGCAAGCGGUUGUUCGGAAUUACUGGGCGUAAAGGGCUCGUAGGUGGCCAACUAAGUCAGACGUGAAAUCCCUCAGCUUAACUGGGGAACUGCGUCUGAUACUGGAUGGCUUGAGUUUGGGAGAGGGAUGCGGAAUUCCAGGUGUAGCGGUGAAAUGCGUAGAUAUCUGGAGGAACACCGGUGGCGAAGGCGGCAUCCUGGACCGACACUGACGCUGAGGAGCGAAAGCCAGGGGGAGCAAACGGG